CUACGAAGGGGGCUAGCGUUGCUCGGAAUUACUGGGCGUAAAGGGAGCGUAGGCGGACUGUUUAGUCAGAGGUGAAAGCCCAGGGCUCAACCUUGGAAUUGCCUUUGAUACUGGCAGUCUAGAGUACGGAAGAGGUAUGUGGAACUCCGAGUGUAGAGGUGAAAUUCGUAGAUAUUCGGAAGAACACCAGUGGCGAAGGCGACAUACUGGUCCGUUACUGACGCUGAGGCUCGAAAGCGUGGGGAGCAAACAGGAUUAGAUACCCUAGUAGUCC
rnacentral:rRNA from 1 species